UAUACACAUCCACGUUGGCCGCAA
rnacentral:siRNA from 1 species